GACGAACGCUGGCGGCGUGCUUAACACAUGCAAGUCGAACGGAAAGGCCCUGCUUUUGUGGGGUGCUCGAGUGGCGAACGGGUGAGUAACACGUGAGUAACCUGCCCUUGACUUUGGGAUAACUUCAGGAAACUGGGGCUAAUACCGGAUAGGAGCUCCUGCUGCAUGGUGGGGGUUGGAAAGUUUCGGCGGUUGGGGAUGGACUCGCGGCUUAUCAGCUUGUUGGUGGGGUAGUGGCUUACCAAGGCUUUGACGGGUAGCCGGCCUGAGGGGGUGACCGGCCACAUUGGGACUGAGAUACGGCCCAGACUCCUACGGGAGGCAGCAGUGGGGAAUAUUGCACAAUGGGCGGAAGCCUGAUGCAGCAACGCCGCGUGCGGGAUGACGGCCUUCGGGUUGUAAACCGCUUUCGCCUGUGGCGAAGCGUGAGUGACGGUAAUGGGUAAAGAAGCACCGGCUAACUACGUG
rnacentral:rRNA from 1 species